CCCCCUUACCUUUUUAGGCCAAACGCUAGCUCCUACUUCAGGAAAGACAGUAGCUCCCCCUGCUGACACAUCGCUCAUCUGAAAAGGUGGAAACAGCACAGCUGGGGAAAGAGGGAGGAAGCUGAGCGCGCAGCAGAGCUGACGCUUGCAACAGGCUAACGAAGUAGCCAAAAGAUCCAUUUUGAUGUCUUUAACAGUAUGGAAGAUGCCUCUGUCUCAGCUCUGGGGGGUGAAGUUCUCUCCCCACAUCGCACGCUUGCACGCUCUUAGAAACUGAUUGGCACCUUUCAAGACUCCUGAAGACGUGGACAGCCACAGGCUCCAAGGAGACCCAAGAUCCUUGGCUACAGGAGCAGCAGCACAUCCAAGACCAGUCCCACAAGCUGUUGUUUCCCCACUGCUUUGAACGUGUCCCGCUCCAGGUAAGGACACCAAGUACUCGCAGCCGCCACUGCUGUUACUGUAACCUGCUCUGACUCUGCUCCCAGCCCUCCUCCGUCCAACAACUGUCCUACAGCCGCCACAACGGGGACAGACCAAUCACUGACACCACCAGUUGUCUUCUCAGGAGGGUGCACACCCCUCUCUGCACCAGCCUGCCUAUAAUACAUGAACCUUUUGCGCAUUUCUGCUUGUAAUGGCUCACUUGGUUUUAUACCAGCACAUUCCCACCCCCCUUCCCCCAGGGUCCAAAAAUAAAACUUUCCUAUAAAAACCGUAAAGGCUGUUUCUCUUCAAAAUGGGUCAUGGCGCUUUUACAUUCUCCGUUCAAUUUUAAGUCACUUUUUGAUCUCGAUGUCUAUCAAGACCCACUGUCCUUUUUGCUGAUGGAUUUUUUUUCUUCUCCUCUAUGCAUUCAUACCCUCAAUUUUCAGCCAGAUGCUUGGGCACCUUAUCGUGAGGAAUCUUCAUGGAGCAGCAGCUUUCAUGGAACCACAGUCCUGCUUUCUAUACAUUAACACUCACUCUAAAUCGGCAAAGCAGCAUUCUAGCUGUUCACUUAAGAACCUCAAGGAUAUAAAAAGUACUUUUAAAAUAAAGCCUAUUUGAGGUACAUGUACAGUCAGUCUUUCCAUACUGCAGAGAUUCUGGACACACUGCCGGCCUUCUAGGACCACCGAGGCGAUGGGGAAUCAGAACAACCAUUCUUCCCCCAUGUCCUCAAAUAUGAGUCCAGCUCAACUCUUCACUAUUACCACAGAAGCAAAGUUUAACCUUACGGUAGCAAAACUGGAUUUUACUAGUAUAAUAAAAAUUAUACUAAUUUGCAUUCACUUUAGUAAGCAUCCCUCCAGCAAGAGAAAGCCAUUUCACACCUUAGUAAAAAGCAAGUACUGUACUAUUCUGCAAAGACAACUUUGUUUCUACCUCCCUGUAAAAACACAUCCCUUCUUCCCCCAGGCUUGGAUUAAGCCAGUUAUCAAAUUACUAGCUGGCCCUGGAUCAAAUCAGUUUUUGGGGCCACCUCACAGACGCCACCCGGGUGUGUACCAUGCUGCACACAGUCAUCCAGAAUGAACAGCCUGCUGACAGUCAUACUUGUUUUAAUGGUUUACCUGU